CCUGCCCCUAGAGGCACUGCAGGUGUGUCUGCUGUGUGACAUGAAUGUCAGUGGGUGGCAGAGAAGAGAGACUAUGUCUAUGCUCAGUGUUCUGAUCUAUGAAUUGAAAGAUUACUAGCCUGACACG